AGUGAACGCUGGCGGUAGGCCUAACACAUGCAAGUCGAACGGCAGCACAGUAAGAGCUUGCUCUUACGGGUGGCGAGUGGCGGACGGGUGAGGAAUACAUCGGAAUCUACUUUUUCGUGGGGGAUAACGUAGGGAAACUUACGCUAAUACCGCAUACGAUCUACGGGUGAAAGCAGGGGAUCUUCGGACCUUGCGCGAUUGAAUGAGCCGAUGUCGGAUUAGCUAGUUGGCGGGGUAAAGGCCCACCAAGGCGACGAUCCGUAGCUGGUCUGAGAGGAUGAUCAGCCACACUGGAACUGAGACACGGUCCAGACUCCUACGGGAGGCAGCAGUGGGGAAUAUUGGACAAUGGGCGCAAGCCUGAUCCAGCCAUGCCGCGUGGGUGAAGAAGGCCUUCGGGUUGUAAAGCCCUUUUGUUGGGAAAGAAAAGCAGCAGGUUAAUACCCCGCUGUUCUGACGGUACCCAAAGAAUAAGCACCGGCUAACUUCGUG
rnacentral:rRNA from 1 species